AAAGAUUAAGCCAUGCAUGUCUAAGUAUAAGCAAGUAUACUGUGAAACUGCGAAUGGCUCAUUAAAUCAGUUAUCGUUUAUUUGAUAGUGCCCUUUACUACUUGGAUAACCGUGGUAAUUCUAGAGCUAAUACAUGCAUCAAGCCCCGACUUUGGAAGGGGUGUAUUUAUUAGACAAAAAACCAAUGCCCUCCGGGGCUGCUUGGUGAAUCAUGAUAACGCAACGAAUCGCAUGGCCCUGCGCCGGCGAUGGUUCAUUCAAAUUUCUGCCCUAUCAACUUUCGAUUGUAGUUUAGUGGACUACAAUGGUUU
rnacentral:rRNA from 1 species